rnacentral:rRNA from 1 species
UACGAAGGGGGCUAGCGUUGCUCGGAAUUACUGGGCUUAAAGGGCGCGUAGGCGGACAGUUUAGUCAGAGGUGAAAGCCCAGGGCUCAACCUUGGAACUGCCUUUGAUACUGGCUGUCUUGAGUUCGGGAGAGGUGAGUGGAAUGCCGAGUGUAGAGGUGAAAUUCGUAGAUAUUCGGCGGAACACCAGUGGCGAAGGCGACUCACUGGCCCGAUACUGACGCUGAGGCGCGAAAGCGUGGGGAGCAAACAGG